rnacentral:lncRNA from 1 species
GUUGCUUGUGACAGGGCUUAAAUUAUUCCACUAUCUAUACUCAGAAGGGUCCUUAUCAGCCUUUCAUGCCAACAUGUGCAAGCAUUGGUUUAUAGAGCUGCUAUAAUAUAACUACCUUUCCUUGGAUGGUGGCCCAGCAAUAUCAGCCCUGCCUGCAAACACUCUAGAAGCACUAAUGGUACUACAUAGUGUAUUCUACAGGUUGCCAGAGGUAUUAUAUAGAAAAACUAAACUUGAUUUCUCUAUCAUUUCCCUCACUGGACUAAGGCUCUAAGAUUGCCCCAACCAGAAGUUGCUAAAAAACCUUCUUCCUCAAGGGGUAUUCAAAGGGUUGAGUCAAUAAUGCUUUGUAUAGAUUGGCUAGCAGAUAUGUCAUACUGCUAUGAAAGCUCCAUGGAUUACAAAAUGAGUGAAAAUGUGAUGAUUACAAUUCCAGAUGUGCAAAAGUGUCUACAGUAUGCUGCUUAAAAAGCAUCAGCAACAACUCAGGCAGGAUUUAUAGGAGAAACAUAAAGAUGGCUCCACUCUUUAAAUUAUUAUGUGCAUUUACAGAUUACUGUCAUCACUGGUGUUGUUAUGAUUUUUAAUACAGAUGGUAAGAUGCCAAAAGUAUUUUGUAUCAACUAAGUUGGGAAUUUAGCAUUGGGAUUAACAUUAUACAAUUCCAUGGGAAAAGAGGAUAAAUACUGGAUUUUUUUCAAACCUAUUUUCAAAGAAUAAGCAUCUUUUGCAAAUGACUUAAUAAAAGGUAAUUCCUUAAUAACUCACUUAUGAUUUUGUGUUAAAAUGUCAAAGAAGGUAUCAGGUAAGGCUCUAAGAUUGCACCAACCAGAAGCUGCUAAAAAGCCUUCUUCUUCAAGGGGUAUUCAAAGGAUUGAGUCAAUAAUGGCUUUGCAGAGAUUGGCUAGCAGAUAUGUCACACUGCACAUAAAAGCUCCAUGGAUUACAAAACGAGUGAAAAUGUGAUGAUUACAAUUCCAGAUGUGCAAAAUAUUCCCUUCUUAAAUUCCCUUUAACAAGGGAAUUACUGGAAAACUUAACUUUGGAUGAAAUUUGUGGUGUGGUGUAUACACUUCUAUCAAUGGCACAUGCUAAUAUCAACCUGCAGCAAGAAUUCCAUUUAUCUGACCCUGUUUCCAUGCCAAACUAAAGUUUUGCAAAGUAAUGACAAUAUGAUUUGGAUCUUAAUAGCAGAAAAUACAAGAAAGUUACAAAC